GACAGAGGGUGCAAACGUUGUUCGGAAUUACUGGGCGUAAAGCGCGUGUAGGCGGCCCGGAAAGUCGGAUGUGAAAGCCCUGGGCUUAACCUAGGAAGUGCAUUCGAAACUCCCGUGGCUUGAGUUCUGGAGAGGGAAGCGGAAUUCUCGGUGUAGAGGUGAAAUUCGUAGAUAUCGAGAGGAACACCGGUGGCGAAGGCGGCUUCCUGGACAGUGACUGACGCUGAGGCGCGACAGCGUGGGGAGCAAACAGG
rnacentral:rRNA from 1 species